rnacentral:rRNA from 1 species
UACUAUGUUACGACUUAUCUCGAAUAAAUAACGAGAGUGACGGGCGAUGUGUACACAUUCUAGAAACUAAAUCAUCAAUACAAUCUAAAAUAAAAAUUACAUUCAAAUCCAAUUUCAUAUUAAAAUUUCAUCUAAAAAUCCAAAAAUAAAUAAAAAAGUAACCCAUUUCUACUUAAUCAUAAAUUGCACCUUGACCUGAAAUAAUUUAAAAUAAAAAAACCAGAAAAUUAAAACACUACAAAGAUCCUCAAUACAACGGCGGUAUACAAAUCAAUAAAUUAAGUAAGGUCCAACGAGGAUUAUCGAUAAAAGAACAGGUUCCUCUGAACAGAAUAAAAUACUGCCAAAUUCUUUAAGUUUCAAGAUCAUAUCUAUUACUACUCAGGUUAAAUAAUUAACAUCUAAAAUAAUAGGGUAUCUAAUCCUAGUUU